rnacentral:lncRNA from 1 species
UAAGCCACGCAUACAUAUUUACAUUAUUUUCAGCAAAUGUUGAAAGGUUUACAUCGGCUCUACAACCGGAAUCAAAAAUCCAACACACACACUACAAUCCACACAAUUACAGAACCAAUAUUAACCUACGCGAAUAGCAUAAGCAAAAACAAACACAAAAGUAUGAACCAAACGCAACUCAAUAGCACAAGCGAAAUAAUGAAAGAAGGACCAAAUUAAAAAUUUUAUCCACACACUUGAGAGCUAACUGCGUACUGUUGUUGUGUAUAGUUGAUGCUGAGUUGCGGAGAUCGUCGAGGUUGUUGUUGUGUGGUAGCAGACUUGGAUUGUGAACAGUGACGAGUUGUUGCUAGAAGUUGCUGCGUUGAAGUUUACUGUUACUGUUACGGUGGUUCAGAAAAA